GCAGUGGUCCAGAUGACCGUCCGCCGCAGCUCGCGCAAGCGGGUGAAGGUGGGAGGAAAGUCCGAACUCCGCAGGGCAGUGCGCCGGGUAACGCCCGGUCAGGGUGACCUGAAGGACAGUGGCACAGAAAAUACACCGCUGACGUCCGCCGCGAGGCGGGCAAGCAAGGGUGAAAAGGUGCGGUAAGAGCGCACCGCGCCGGCCGUAAGGUUCGGUGGCAGGCAAAACCCCGCACGGAGCAAGGCCAAAUAGGGAGGCGAUCAGGCCGCGCGCGCAAGCGUGUGGACCUGGAGAGGACGGCCCGUCCGAAGCUUCCGGGUAGGCUGCUUGACUUCGGCAGUAAUGCCGGAGCUAGAGGAAUGGUUGUCAUUCACAAAAGCGCGCCGUAUGGCGGGCGAAGGUGGAAACAGAAUUCGGCUUACGGACCACUGCGGUC
rnacentral:RNase_P_RNA from 1 species